rnacentral:rRNA from 1 species
AUUGAUUUUAUGCUUGCCUAAAUGAUUUUUGGAUUCGGAGCGAGUGGCGAACUGGUGAGUAACACGUGGGUAACCUGCCCCGAAGCGGGGGAUAACAUUUGGAAACAAGUGCUAAUACCGCAUAAUUAGUUGGAACCGCAUGGUUCCAACUUGAAAGAUGGCUCUGCUAUCACUUUGGGAUGGACCCGCGCCGUAUUAGUUAGUUGGUGAGAUAAAAGCCCACCAAGACGAUGAUACGUAGCCGACCUGAGAGGGUAAUCGGCCACAUUGGGACUGAGACACGGCCCAGACUCCUACGGGAGGCAGCAGUAGGGAAUCUUCCACAAUGGACGAAAGUCUGAUGGAGCAACGCCGCGUGAGUGAUGAAGGUUUUCGGAUCGUAAAACUCUGUUGUUAAAGAAGAACAAGUGUUAGAGUAACUGUUAACACUUUGACGGUAUUUAACCAGAAAGCCACGGCUAACUACGUGCCAGCAGCCGCGGUAAUACGUAGGUGGCAAGCGUUGUCCGGAUUUAUUGGGCGUAAAGCGAGCGCAGGCGGUUUUGUAAGUCUGCUGUGAAAGCCCUCAGCUCAACUGAGGAAGUGCAGUGGAAACUACAAAACUUGAGUACAGAAGAGGAAAGUGGAACUCCAUGUGUAGCGGUGAAAUGCGUAGAUAUAUGGAAGAACACCAGUGGCGAAGGCGGCUUUCUGGUCUGUUACUGACGCUGAGGCUCGAAAGCAUGGGUAGCGAACAGGAUUAGAUACCCUGGUAGUCCAUGCCGUAAACGAUGAAUACUAGGUGUUGGAGGGUUUCCGCCCUUCAGUGCCGCAGCUAACGCAUUAAGUAUUCCGCCUGGGGAGUACGACCGCAAGGUUGAAACUCAAAGGAAUUGACGGGGGCCCGCACAAGUGGUGGAGCAUGUGGUUUAAUUCGAUGCUACGCGAAGAACCUUACCAGCUCUUGACAUCUUCUGCCAACCCAAGAGAUUGGGCGUUCCCUUCGGGGACAGAAUGACAGGUGGUGCAUGGUUGUCGUCAACUCGUGUCGUGAGAUGUUGGGUUAAGUCCCGCAACGAGCGCAACCCUUAUUAUUAGUUGCCAGCAUUUAGUUGGGCACUCUAGUGAGACUGCCGGUGAUAAA